UUACAGCGACAGUCUCCCUGGAGCAACGUAGGGUUAAGUGUCAAUGUCAGUGGUAGUAAGCGGGAUUUGAACCUGGGUCUUUUGGUUCAUAGGCGAGUGUGUUACACACUAGGCUACCACCACCCUCAUAAAUACGGUUGGUGCUCUCGGGUGACCUCAGUGCAUGUAUAUGACCCCCCCCCCGCCGCCGUGAAAGAUGGGGAGCGAGUGCGCGUGUGCGGGACGCGGGACGCGGGAGGGGGCGAGUGGGCGGCCUGCGGUGCUCCGGUCCCCUGCCAUCUUGAACGAAACCCGGCCAGCGGAACAACAGCGGCUUCGCCCCGCGUCCACCGUCAUGUAACGUCGGCCCGAGGAUUUUACCCAGCGAGCAGCGAGAAGUCCGGGUUGUACCGCUGGGCUGCGUCGUCGGCGCCGACGUGGGUCCAGUGCUCAUAUCUGCCUCUUGCACAGCAGCGUGACCUGGACUUGACCCCUGGCUGAUAACGCUGGAGUGUAAACAGGACCCGGAAACCGACCGAUGCCAACAAUCCCGCCUGCACACACGCGAUGGCGGCCUAGCGGAUCACGCAUGUCGAAUAAUCACUUUCACUUCCGGCUGGCGGUAUAGGGACCGUACCCAUCAUGCACGUGUCCAGAAUGGUGCUGUCGCUGUAGUACUUCAGUGGACUUUGACAGGCGUUUGUUGGUAACUGUGAAGGUGCUGAAGAUAGUCGUGGUAUUUCCUGUGUGCGCGGAGAUCGUCCCGGAGGAAUGCGUGGAAUGCCUUGCUUGGCCUCCAACCUCCUGGUUUCUCUGCGCUCCUUAUUCAGUGGGGACUGGAUCUGGGUCAUUUCUGUCCCUCUCUCUGAUUCUGCCUGUUAGCUUUUCCCCAGAGAAGCACACACUCCACCCCCCUCCCUCUCCCACACACACACACACACACACCACCGGUGUUCUUUCUUCUUCCUCUUCGUAUUUAGCGAAGCUGUCAUCACUGUUUGGUGAUUUAUACUUUUAUAAAAAGGGAAAGCGCCACCAAAAGCACUGAUUUCAGGCUGGCUGAAACCGAACUUUUAUCUGCUCUCAUCAAACAUGUGUUUUAAUAUUAGAUACUACUGAUAAUUGUAUUGCUCAGUUUUGACACCCAUUAUUCAGUGAAAUAUUUGGUGCAAUUGUUUUGUCUGAAUGCUCAUAGAGUUUACAGAAUUUUAUUGUGGAAGUUGGUUUUAACAAGUGUCCCGUGCAUCACGUGGCAAGUUUUCAAACUGCCUGUAUGGCUUUUGUCAUAACUUUAUAUUGAACUACCCAGUAGUAAAGCACGACAAGUACUACGUACACGGGCAGUGGUGGCCUAGUGGUUACCAAGGGUGAUUGUUAAAAGCAGAGGACACAUUUCGUUGUGUUCUUUUCCUGACAAGUUAUGCCUUAUCGGGGCUCAUAGUUUUGUAACUCAAAAUCUAUAGAAACCG
ensembl:lncRNA